rnacentral:rRNA from 1 species
AGCGAACGCUGGCGGCAGGCCUAACACAUGCAAGUCGAACGAAGUCUUCGGACUUAGUGGCGGACGGGUGAGUAACACGUGGGAACGUACCUUUUGGUUCGGAACAACUCAGGGAAACUUGAGCUAAUACCGAAUGUGCCCUUCGGGGGAAAGAUUUAUCGCCAUUAGAGCGGCCCGCGUUAGAUUAGCUAGUUGGUGGGGUAAAGGCCCACCAAGGCUACGAUCUAUAGCUGGUCUGAGAGGAUGAUCAGCCACACUGGGACUGAGACACGGCCCAGACUCCUACGGGAGGCAGCAGUGGGGAAUCUUGCGCAAUGGGCGAAAGCCUGACGCAGCCAUGCCGCGUGAAUGAUGAAGGUCUUAGGAUUGUAAAAUUCUUUCAGUAGGGACGAUAAUGACGGUACCUACAGAAGAAGCCCCGGCUAACUUCGUGCCAGCAGCCGCGGUAA